rnacentral:rRNA from 2 species
UGCAGUCGAACGGCAGCGCGGGGCAACCUGGCGGCGAGUGGCGAACGGGUGAGUAAUACAUCGGAACGUACCCAGAAGUGGGGGAUAACGUAGCGAAAGUUACGCUAAUACCGCAUACGAUCUACGGAUGAAAGUGGGGGACCUUCGGGCCUCAUGCUUUUGGAGCGGCCGAUGUCUGAUUAGCUAGUUGGUGAGGUAAAGGCUCACCAAGGCGACGAUCAGUAGCUGGUCUGAGAGGACGACCAGCCACACUGGAACUGAGACACGGUCCAGACUCCUACGGGAGGCAGCAGUGGGGAAUUUUGGACAAUGGGCGCAAGCCUGAUCCAGCAAUGCCGCGUGAGUGAAGAAGGCCUUCGGGUUGUAAAGCUCUUUUGUCAGGGAAGAAACGGCUGAGGCUAAUAUCCUCGGCUAAUGACGGUACCUGAAGAAUAAGCACCGGCUAACUACGUGCCAGCAGCCGCGGUAAUACGUAGGGUGCAAGCGUUAAUCGGAAUUACUGGGCGUAAAGCGUGCGCAGGCGGUUUUGUAAGUCUGAUGUGAAAUCCCCGGGCUCAACCUGGGAAUUGCAUUGGAGACUGCAAGGCUAGAAUCUGGCAGAGGGGGGUAGAAUUCCACGUGUAGCAGUGAAAUGCGUAGAGAUGUGGAGGAACACCGAUGGCGAAGGCAGCCCCCUGGGUCAAGAUUGACGCUCAUGCACGAAAGCGUGGGGAGCAAACAGGAUUAGAUACCCUGGUAGUCCACGCCCUAUACGAUGUCUACUAGUUGUC